rnacentral:lncRNA from 1 species
CAUUUUCGCUCGCAUAACUUAUCAACUAUCACAUAAUUCUAUAGAUUACCAUGAAUCUACUGUGAAGAUACUAUAAAACAUGAAAAAGCUCAUCAUUCCAAGUGUUGAAACAGUGACAACCACCUUCAUAGUUGCUCGGCCCAAUCCUUCAUCUUGAUCAUUGACUGCAGAUUUGAUGAGUGACCCAUCUUCACCUUGGUAACCAUUAACUGUCAUAAGUGUGCGGGCGUGAGGACAGAGCUUCCAACCAUGACCUGUUAUCCACUAAUACGUAGAACUCUUUGCUAUCGGGGGCCAAGAAAACGCUAUGAUCCGAAAGAUAAGACUGCA